rnacentral:misc_RNA from 1 species
UACCAAACGAAACGACAUCCGGAUAGGUAAAAGGCCGAACGCCGAAUACAUUGAAAUUAUUGUUAACGAGGAACGUUCCGGGUAUCACGUUCGCCCUUGGUUAGAUCGUUUUACUCGAGUCUCUAGCCAAUUCUUAGUGGCCAUAGAAUAUGGUAAAGAUCGUUGUUCUAUCAUCUCUAAAUUAUUAAACAUAAGGAGACUGCAUAUCGUCUCUUGAGUCUUGAGGAAGAUGACGAAAUAUCAAGUGGCAUGACCUAGACCUGACAAAUAUUGAUUUCAUCGAAAAUAUUAAGUUGUAUUAGGACAAGGACAUUAAUUUAUGAAAAACUUUUCGUAGAAUAACAACAAAAAGCAUUUUGUUAGUGGCAGGAUACGUGCAAUAUACCGUACCAGAUUUCGGCAGCAGACAAGGAAGUGAACUUGUUGUGUUGGAUCUGUGUAUGCUUUUGUAAUGAGCGUGGUGGAGCUUUUCAUUGAAUCGAGGACAAAAACAUUUGAAAUCGAAUCAGACGUUACUGGAAGCUAAGAUAGAUAAGAUGGGUCAAAAAGGAAGCAAGAGUACUCCUCCCCAAAAUAGAAACGUACAGCAUCAACGAGGAAACACGGGGUAUCCUAAACAACCUACACAACCUGCACAACAGCCUGGGAAUCCAGCACAACAAUCUGCAGGAACGCCUUAUUCGUACAGGAACAACUUCGAUUCGACAUUGACCAAAAUCUGUGAAGAAAUACGUGGUCGAAUGGACAAUGGUCUCACCGCCGUGGACAAUAAGUACGCAGAAGGAGCAUUUGAAGUGGUCCAGUGUUUUCUGAUUGGCUUGUUGAAGAGGCAAAAGGGGCAAUAUGGCUCAGGCAUUGGUAUCUCGAAAUCUGGUAGUUUCUAUGAAGGGAUGACCUGGGGAGAUUCAUACACGUUUAAAUACAUCAUCGGAUUGGAAGAUGUUGGGAAGGCUAUCGUAAAGUUGCAAAAUGCCCCAGAGCCCGGGUUCGUUGACAUUGAUCUUGAAACAGGCAACAGUGCUGGUGGUUCCAUGCAAAACAUAAUCAAUGCACUUACCAAAUCAACAGCAGAUGAAGCCAGUGGGGCAUUUUGGAAAGAUGUGGAAAUGGUUGUAAAUAACCUUCAACUUCCGCAAGGUUGGGUACCACGAGUGGACACUCUUCUAAAAUCCAGCUUUAUAAUAGAUGGCGCCUCUGUCUCCCUUUUAUAUACCGUGAAGCUUCCACAGUGCCCGAAGCCUGCUCCAAUUACAAUCAACCUGACCAUAGGCAUCCCUUUACCAGCUCGCCAUUUUCCAACUCAAAUUGACAUCCUUCAGAGGAUGCCACGUGACCAUCCCAUGUAUGACAUGAUUGUCGACAUCUUGCGAUCCUCCGAGAUCUUCGUAUUGGUGGAAAACAAGAAACUGAAGUUAUAUUUAGCCAGCGUUGUGACAAGUAUUUUUCAAAGAAUGCCUCAUUUGAUCAAAAGUGCGUACCUUACCCUGCGUGCAUUCCGGGAUAAGCAGGCCACAAGUGUCUUUAGCAUGGGAAAAUUACCGAGGUACGCAACGUCUUCAUAUAUUCUGAAAACCUUGUUCUUACACGAGUUGAUCACUAACCCGGACGGUAACUACUGGAGCUUGGCUAAAGGCAUCGAACCAAACCCGCCACAUACUCGCGACUUCAUGGCCGAUCGUUUGAUGAGCCUACUGCUCAGAUGGUCAAAAGCGUUAAAAUCGGUAAACCUGGCCAAUGUUUUCAUAUCUUCAGCGAACGUAUUGUCACCGACUGAAGAUUAUGAAGAUGAUGAUGAUUUUCUAGAUGGCCAACUCCAUCAAGUGUUUAAAAGCAGCGUCCCAGAUAUAUACAAUACUGUUAACGAGUCACAGAGAAGAAUGGAUCAACUUCAAGAACGUAAUGAGUACAGAGUACCCGCCAACAAUGGGUUCAAUCAAACAUCAACGGUCGUGCAAUGGAUGUUCUUAGAUGAGAACUUUCGCAAAGGGAGAACAUUUCAGUACACACACGCCAAACUGACAGUUCAGUAAGGACCGGAAACUUUUUCUCUCAUUUCUACCAGUACUACCAGGAUGAGGAAAUCGUCAUCCUUUUUUAAUACCAAACAUUUUAUAUCUGGCAACAUACGUCAUUCAAGUCCAACAAGGCCCCGUAGAA